AGCGGAUUAGCGGCGGACGGGUGAGUAACACGUGAGUAACCUGCCUUAGACAUUGGGAUAGCCUCGGGAAACCGGGAUUAAUACCAAAUAAAAUCAUAAUGACACAUGUCAUAACGAUCAAAACUCCGGUGGUCUAAGAUGGACUCGCGUCCCAUUAGCUAGUUGGUAGAGUAAAAGCCUACCAAGGCGACAUGGGUAGCCGGCCUGAGAGGGUGAACGGCCACAUUGGAACUGAGAAACGGUCCAA
rnacentral:rRNA from 1 species